rfam:TPA: Bos taurus chromosome 2, whole genome shotgun sequence.
UCCCUGAUGGUCCAGUGGUUAAGGCUCAGCACUUCCAAUGCAGGGGGCAUGGGUUCAAUCCCUGGUCAGGGAA